CCCGGGGGAGGGGUAAGUUGUACCACUAUUAUCACCAUCAGAAUCCAACUAUCCAAUUAUAUUAACAAAAUCAUUUGAGAAAAGACUCAUCAAAUCAAUAUACAAUCCAACAUAAAUGAAAAGUCUCUUUAUGUAUGUACGGAUAACGAUCGUUACAGUUAGCUCCACUAUUUUCCAUAUUAAAGUUCAAUGGAGAAAUUGGUUUAGACUCUCAAAAAAAAAAAGACAAGGAAGAGAAACAGUUGAUCAUAGAUAAAUCUUGUCCAAUUAAAUUGUAUUUAGGAGACGUGUUGAAUCUCAAUGUU
rnacentral:lncRNA from 1 species